AUACGGAGGAUCCGAGCGUUAUCCGGAUUUAUUGGGUUUAAAGGGAGCGUAGGCGGACGCUUAAGUCAGUUGUGAAAGUUUGCGGCUCGACCGUAAAAUUGCAGUUGAUACUGGGUGUCUUGAGUACAGUAGAGGCAGGCGGAAAUGGUGGUGUAGCGGUGAAAUGCUUAGAUAUCCCGAAGAACUCCGCUUGCGAAGGCAGCCUGCUGGACUGUAACUGACGCUGAUGCUCGAAAGUGUGGGUAUCAAACAGGAUUAGAUACCCUGGUAGUCCACACAGUAAACGAUGAAUACUCGCUGUUUGCGAUAUACAGUAAGCGGCCAAGCGAAAGCGUUAAGUAUUCCACCUGGGGAGUACGCCGGCAACGGUGAAACUCAAAGGAAUUGACGGGG
rnacentral:rRNA from 1 species